AUUGAACGCUGGCGGCAGGCCUAACACAUGCAAGUCGAGCGGAUGAAGGGAGCUUGCUCCUGGAUUCAGCGGCGGACGGGUGAGUAAUGCCUAGGAAUCUGCCUGGUAGUGGGGGAUAACGUCCGGAAACGGGCGCUAAUACCGCAUACGUCCUGCGGGAGAAAGUGGGGGAUCUUCGGACCUCACGCUAUCAGAUGAGCCUCGGUCGGAUUAGCUAGUUGGUGGGGUAACGGCCUACCAAGGCGACGAUCCGUAACUGGUCUGAGAGGAUGAUCAGUCACACUGGAACUGAGACACGGUCCAGACUCCUACGGGAGGCAGCAGUGGGGAAUAUUGGACACUGGGCGAAAGCCUGAUCCAGCCAUGCCGCGUGUGUGAAGAAGGUCUUCGGAUUGUAAAGCACUUUAAGUUGGGAGGAAGGGCAGUAAGUUAAUACCUGGCUGUUUUGACGUUACCAACAGAAUAAGCACCGGCUAACUUCGUG
rnacentral:rRNA from 1 species